rnacentral:rRNA from 1 species
ACUCCUACGGGAGGCAGCAGUGGGGAAUAUUGCGCAAUGGGGGAAACCCUGACGCAGCGACGCCGCGUGAGCGAAGAAGGCCUUCGGGUUGUAAAGCUCUGUUGUAAGGGACGAAAGAUCAAGGGAAUAACUGCCCUUGAAGUGACGGUACCUUACCAGCAAGCCCCGGCUAACUACGUGCCAGCAGCCGCGGUAAGACGUAGGGGGCGAGCGUUGUCCGGAAUUACUGGGCGUAAAGAGCACGUAGGCGGAUGUAUAAGUCAGGUGUGAAAGACCGCAGCCUAACUGCGGGGUUGCACUUGAAACUGUAUAUCUUGAGGGCAGGAGAGGUUAGUAGAAUUCCUGGUGUAGCGGUGAAAUGCGUAGAAAUCAGGAGGAAUACCAGUGGCGAAGGCGACUGACUGGACUGACCCUGACGCUGAGGUGCGAAAGCGUGGGUAGCAAACAGGAUUAGAUACCCUGGUAGUC